UAACCGGGCGUUAAGUUGCAGGGUAUAGACCCGAAACCCGGUGAUCUAGCCAUGGGCAGGUUGAAGGUUGGGUAACACUAACUGGAGGACCGAACCGACUAAUGUUGAAAAAUUAGCGGAUGACUUGUGGCUGGGGGUGAAAGGCCAAUCAAACCGGGAGAUAGCUGGUUCUCCCCGAAAGCUAUUUAGGUAGCGCCUCGUGAAUUCAUCUCCGGGGGUAGAGCACUGUUUCGGCAAGGGGGUCAUCCCGACUUACCAACCCGAUGCAAACUGCGAAUACCGGAGAAUGUUAUCACGGGAGACACACGGCGGGUGCUAACGUCCGUCGUGAAGAGGGAAACAACCCAGACCGCCAGCUAAGGUCCCAAAGUCAUGGUUAAGUGGGAAACGAUGUGGGAAGGCCCAGACAGCCAGGAUGUUGGCUUAGAAGCAGCCAUCAUUUAAAGAAAGCGUAAUAGCUCACUGGUCGAGUCGGCCUGCGCGGAAGAUGUAACGGGGCUAAACCAUGCACCGAAGCUGCGGCAGCGACACUGUGUGUUGUUGGGUAGGGGAGCGU
rnacentral:rRNA from 1 species